CACUCUCUGUCCAUCCAUCACAUGUUGCUGUCACCCUGGCAACAUUUCUCUCGGAUCGGUCCAGCUCCAGGGAUGGUGGGGGAGGGGGGAAGCAACCCAAUUCCAGCCUGCUGACUAAUUUGUUGGAAACUCCUAGACAACACAAUGAGAAAUUCUUUCCAAUGCUUUCCAAAAUGUCUCUGGAAGGUCACUCAAAGGUUGGUGCAAGGACAUGAUUUCUUCUUUCCAUACGGUCAGCAGGAUUUGGGCAAAGGGCAUACGUGGAAUAUCUUUGUCAUACAGGGAUCUCAAACAUCCAGGACACAAUAUAUCUGAAGAGAUGCCUGUGAAGUGGGAAUGGCUUGGAACUCCUUCCACUGCACGGUCUCUCUGGCCUCAAAAACCAAGCAUUCCUGAGUUAUGUGAGACCAUAUUCUUGUUUAGAAGUCCUUCAGGAAUAGAGAAGGUUUUGUCUACAUUGUCUUCUGCAGAAGUCCUGCUGCAUUCUUCCUUUAUCCUGUCUGACUGAAGUAAGGAGAACUAUUGCACUGCUCAUGUGUAUCUGCUUGGCCUCCUCUCUUCCUUGCCCCGUUCUGUGCCUUCCCCCUUUCUUUUUUUCCUUAUUUUGUGUAAGCUGGAAUUUUUGUGGGCUAUGGGAUGAAAUGCAGGCUUAUUCUGCUCCCGAAGAAUAGUGAAAGUCUGUUAAGGAUUAUAUCUUUGUAGAAUUAUGUGUAAUAGAAAGAAAACAGCUGGGCACACUGGAGGGAGAAACAAGUGGCUUAUUUUGAAGUUUGUUUUUACAGAAAAAUUAUAGAGCCUUCCCAAAAAAGUCAAUUUUUAAAAUGUAGAAAGGA
rnacentral:lncRNA from 1 species